rnacentral:rRNA from 1 species
GGUUGACCUCGGAUCAGGUAGGAAUACCCGCUGAACUUAAGCAUAUCAAUAAAGCGGAGG